rnacentral:snRNA from 1 species
CAAAGUGUAGUAUCUGUUCUUAUCAGCUUAAUAUCUGAUAUGCUCACGACAAGUGGGCUUCGAUAUUAAACUGAUUUUUGAACUUAGGCGAAGUGUCAGGGGCUUGCUCCACCUUCGCCACGGGUUGAC